rnacentral:misc_RNA from 1 species
AAAGUCGUAACAAGGUUUCCGUAGGUGAACCUGCGGAAGGAUCAUUAACACGUAUCCACGUUUUAAAAUCAACCACCACGAACUGUGCUCCCUGGCCUCCAACUUCUCUUGCUGUCCGAUGUGGGUUCUAAUGGGUUGCAACCGUUUCGACGGUUGUAUCAUACCUAUGUCCGGCUAUCACUCCUCGAGAGUGUGGCGGAGAGACCGGUCGCUAGGCUUAUUUUAUCUCAUCAAUCUACUCUCUCAACCAUUUUGAGCGAGUGGGGCGAUACCCAUACCAAUUUCACUCUAUUUUACCUAUUUGACUAAUUAUACGAGUUUCGAGUGGGAGAAAUCCUAUCUCGAAAUGACCUAAGAUUUAUCUUAACUAAGCACAACUCUUAGCAAUGGAUAUCUUGGUUCUC